rnacentral:tRNA from 2 species
GCCGGCGUAGCUCAGUUGGUAGAGCAGCUGAUUCGUAAUCAGCAGGUCAGCGGUUCAAAUCCGCUCGCCGGCUCCA